rnacentral:rRNA from 1 species
UACAGAGGGUGCGAGCGUUAAUCGGAAUUACUGGGCGUAAAGGGCGCGUAGGUGGUUAUUUAAGUCAGAUGUGAAAUCCCUGGGCUUAACCUAGGAAUUGCAUUUGAAACUAGAUGGCUAGAGUGCGGUAGAGGGAAGUGGAAUUUCCGGUGUAGCGGUGAAAUGCGUAGAUAUCGGAAGGAACACCAGUGGCGAAGGCGACUUCCUGGACCGUUACUGACACUGAGGCGCGAAAGCGUGGGGAGCGAACAGG